rnacentral:lncRNA from 1 species
CGAGAAAGCUUGACUUUUAAAAGAUUUGAAUGGUGUACAUGGAAUUUAAUCGUGAAGAUUCGUAUCGAUGAUAGAAAAUCAUCGAUCGAUAUUAACGAUAAGAUCAACAAUCUGACCGUGGUGACGGGUUUGCAAGAAACAAGUGGAAAUUAAAAGUGAUAGAUAGUACGGUAUAAGAAAAAAAAGAAAAGGAAAAAGGGGGACAAGAAGAAAAAAAAUAGAUGAAGAAAAUAUCUUGGCUCGUUUCGAGUAGGAUAGAUCAUCCCUUUCACGUUCCUUCGGUCGAAUGAAUUGAAACGACAAUCUCAGUUCAGUCGAUUGAAUCUCGUCGAGCAACGUAAUAAGAAUCUCGGUGUUACCUGAUAAGAUAAUAAUGGGAUAAAAAAAAAAGGGAUACGCACACCACCGUUUUGCCUGGAAUGAAAUAUUUUUAACUAUUGGAACACGUCUUAUCUUAAAACGUUCAACGUGAAAUCAAAUUACAUUUCGAUACGAGAAAUACAAAAAAAAAAAGGGUAUAAAAUGUAUAUAUAAAUAUAAUAAAAUCAUAGUUAUCAUGAUUGUAUCAUGAUAAAUUGAAAUAACAGAUAAAAUAUAUAUAUAUAUAUAUAUGUACGAAGGUAGUGUAGUCAAGGUUUCGUUAAAUCAAAUAGCAUCGUUGAGAGAUAGAAAAGUACCUUCAGCAAAUCGGAUUAAACUUAAUCCGAAAUCGGUAAUUCGAGGAGAAGGGUAUACAUGGAUGCGCCGGAAAAGGGAAACCCGAUUGAACUACGAGGAUUCGAUUCCUUGACAAGAAUGAGAUUACUUUGGAAUAAUCGAAAAGAGUAAAAAAAAAAUAACACAACAAAACAAAACAAAAUAAA